AACGAACGCUGGCGGCAGGCUUAACACAUGCAAGUCGAGCGCCCCGCAAGGGGAGCGGCAGACGGGUGAGUAACGCGUGGGAAUCUACCUUUUGCUACGGAAUAACGCAGGGAAACUUGUGCUAAUACCGUAUGUGUCCUUCGGGAGAAAGAUUUAUCGGCAAGAGAUGAGCCCGCGUUGGAUUAGCUAGUUGGUGGGGUAAAGGCCUACCAAGGCGACGAUCCAUAGCUGGUCUGAGAGGAUGAUCAGCCACAUUGGGACUGAGACACGGCCCAAACUCCUACGGGAGGCAGCAGUGGGGAAUAUUGGACAAUGGGCGCAAGCCUGAUCCAGCCAUGCCGCGUGGGUGAUGAAGGCCCUAGGGUUGUAAAGCUCUUUCACCGGAGAAGAUAAUGACGGUAUCCGGAGAAGAAGCCCCGGCUAACUUCGUGCCAGCCGCCGCGGUAA
rnacentral:rRNA from 2 species